GUACUGAUGAAGAGUCCUAAACUAGGACGAAACAGUUGUCGAGUAC
rfam:Trichobilharzia regenti genome assembly, scaffold: TRE_scaffold0030597